rnacentral:lncRNA from 1 species
UCGCGGAACACGGCUCGCGUGAUGGGGCACAAGAGCACCUCGGGCUCGGCGUCGAGAUCUGCGUCGGGGGCGUCGGGCACGUCGCCCCGUGCGCUCGCGGAAUGCCGGGUUCGCACACCUUGGGUGGCGUUUCCGGAUGUCGGCUCCGGUGCGGCGGACGUCUUGCGCCGCUUGGAGGGCGCCAUCGCACGAACGUCCGGGUUUGCCCCUGGCUGCGCGCUCUACUUUGUGAUGAUCUUCAAAGCGGCGAGUGAAAGUUCCGUCGCGUUCAAUAUUGCAAGAUGCUAAUGCCUUACGACGCCGCUCUCCUCCCCUUCAGGUUCGCCAUGAACGCCUUGGUGAAAGUGUGCGCCAGGUACCCGCACGGCCCGAACAUGCAGCAUAAAGUCAGAGAGUGCGCCGCCGGAACGUUCAGUGCGAGGCUGUCCAGGUACACGUGCCGCGCGACGAACAGGUCCAAAGACAGC